UACGGAGGGUGCAAGCGUUGUCCGGAAUCACUGGGCGUAAAGGGCGCGUAGGCGGCUCAUGAAGGCUGUGGUGAAAGUCCGGGGCUCAACCUCGGAUCGGCCGUGGCGACUCGUGGGCUGGAGCACUGUAGAGGCGGGUGGAAUUCCGGGUGUAGCGGUGGAAUGCGUAGAGAUGCGGAAGAACACCAGUGGCGAAGGCGGCCCGCUGGGCAGUGGCUGACGCUGAGGCGCGACAGCGUGGGGAGCAAACAGG
rnacentral:rRNA from 1 species